rnacentral:rRNA from 1 species
GCGGGGACCACCCCGUAAGGCUAAAUACUCCUUAGUGACCGAUAGCGCAUAGUACUGUGAAGGAAAGGUGAAAAGGACCCCGGGAGGGGAGUGAAAGAGAACCUGAAACCAUAUGUUUACAAGCUGUGGAACAUCUUUAUAUGAUGAACCGCGUACUUUUUGUAGAACGGUCCGGCGAGUUACGCUGGCUGGCGAGGUUAAGGGCUGAAGGCCUGGAGCCGAAGGGAAACCGAGUCUGAACAGGGCGAAAUAGUCAGUCGGAGUAGACCCGAAACCGGGUGAUCUAUCCAUGUCCAGGUUGAAGUUGCCGUAAAAGGCAAUGGAGGACCGAACCCACAUCCGUUGAAAAGGGUGGGGAUGAGGUGUGGAUAGGGGAGAAAUUCCAAUCGAACCCGGAGAUAGCUGGUUCUCCUCGAAAUAGCUUUAGGGCUAGCCUCAUGCAAGUCUUACGGAGGUAGAGCACUGAAUUCCUAAGGGGGCGUCAAAGCUUACCAAGGGAUAUCAAACUCCGAAUGCCGUGUAGAUGGUGCAUGGGAGUCAGACUAUCCGAGAUAAGUUGGGUAGUCAAAAGGGAAAGAGCCCAGACCUACAGCUAAGGUCCCAAAAUGUGUGUUAAGUGGAAAAGGAUGUGGGAUUUCGAAGACAACUAGGAUGUUGGCUUAGAAGCAGCCAUCCAUUAAAAGAGUGCGUAAUAGCUCACUAGUCGAGAGGUCCUGCGCCGAAAAUGUCCGGGGCUGAAACACACUACCGAAGCUU